rnacentral:rRNA from 1 species
AUUGAACGCUGGCGGCAUGCCUUACACAUGCAAGUCGAACGAAGUCUUCGGACUUAGUGGCGGACGGGUGAGUAACACGUGGGAACGUGCCUUUAGGUUCGGAAUAACUCAGGGAAACUUGUGCUAAUACCGAAUGUGCCCUUCGGGGGAAAGAUUUAUCGCCUUUAGAGCGGCCCGCGUCUGAUUAGCUAGUUGGUGAGGUAAAGGCUCACCAAGGCUACGAUCAGUAGCUGGUCUGAGAGGAUGACCAGCCACAUUGGGACUGAGACACGGCCCAAACUCCUACGGGAGGCAGCAGUGGGGAAUCUUGCGCAAUGGGCGAAAGCCUGACGCAGCCAUGCCGCGUGGAUGAUGAAGGUCUUAGGAUUGUAAAAUCCUUUCACCGGUGAAGAUAAUGACUGUAGCCGGAGAAGAAGCCCCGGCUAACUUCGUGCCAGCAGCCGCCGUAAGAC